GCCUAUGAUGACAUGAUUGUUUCAGAAGAAGCAAAUUUUUUGUCUAAUCUUGUUGAUAUUUAUCAUGAACUAGGACGGUCUGAGGC
rnacentral:snoRNA from 1 species